GCCGCGAGGCAAGAGCUGAAGGAAGCGUGUACCAAAAUCUUGGUCCGACGAAUAGAAAUCUGAUACCAAGGCUUUACAGACGGAUGAGGCUACUAUACAAGUCAAAGUCCAAAAGAUGUGCGUAACUCUGUGAAGUAAAUUAGGCGGAUAAAAGAGGAAAGAUAAU
rnacentral:ncRNA from 1 species